GACAGAAGGUGCAAACGUUGUUCGGAAUUACUGGGCGUAAAGCGCGUGUAGGCGGCUGCGCAAGUCGGAUGUGAAAUCCCAUGGCUCAACCAUGGAAGUGCACCCGAAACUGCGUAGCUUGAGUCUCGGAGAGGAAGGCGGAAUGCUUGGUGUAGAGGUGAAAUUCGUAGAUAUCAAGCGGAACACCGGUGGCGAAGGCGGCCUUCUGGACGAUGACUGACGCUGAGACGCGAAAGCGUGGGGAGCAAACAGG
rnacentral:rRNA from 1 species